ACAAAUCAGAAUUUCUCACUCACUUUACUCUCUUUUCUCUUAAGGAAAGAGCUAGAAAUUCUCUUGAGUCUUUUCUCUCAAACCCACAGGUCAACACCUCAAAAGGAAGAUAAGGCUCCAUCUCAUUUCUUCUUUCUACUCUCUCAAAGAAAUUAGAACAAUCAAGAACUCUCUCCCUCUCAUACCCACGGGUCCAACACCAAAUGAAAGAAAAACUCUCUCAAGCUCUCUACCUCUCAUACUUUUGGGUCCAGCUACUAGGAAAGGGAAAUCCUUUCAUGUAAGAGUAAUUCUAUAUCUAUUUCCCCUCAAGAACCAGAAACUUGGUGUUUCCAGCCCCAGGUCUAAGCUCCUUCGACUUUAGGCUCUUUGUUUCUCUGUUUUAAGGUUAUAUCCUCUGAUGAUUUGAACUCUACCAGUAGGAGUUGAAGAUAUGUAUUAUGAUGUGAUCUCGGGAAUACCUGACAUUGUGGGAAAUGCUGGAUGCCUAGCACUGUGGUGCUAAAAGUCUCCCAAAUAAGUACAGACUUAUCAUAUAUGGACUAACCAAUAUGUUAUGGAUAGCUAUUAAAUGUUAUUGAUCAUGAGAGAAUUAUUUUGUUUAAAUGCAUUAUGAAAAGUUGAAAAUUCUCAUGAAAAGAAGAAGUUUAUGAUGAAAAGAAAAGCUAUUUUUUAAAGAUAAAAGUUUCUAAAGUUCUGUUGUGCUUUAAAGAUAAAGUAUCUAAUGAAAAUGUUUUAAUCUUCUGUAAGGAUAAAGCUUCUGAUGAAAAUACAAGUUUAUGUUAAAAAGUUACCAAUUAUCUGAUUUAAGUUAAAAUGAUUAUUUUGUAAUGAGAAUACAUAUAUAUUGAUUUUAAACAAUUAAUAUUAUAUUUGGUGACUUUGUAAGAAAUGAAAGAAAUUAAAUCUGAAAGGUUUUGGUAAUAUUAUUCUGAUAAGAAAAGGGAGAACAAUUAAUUUCCUAUGAAGAGUGAUAAUUUAUUAUUAUAAAUAGUAUAAAAUACUAUGCAUGAAAAGAUGUUCUCUUAUCUGAAUAUCCAUAUAAUGAAAUGAUUUGAUUUACAUGCAUCCUUAUUAAAUUCUUAUGUAUCUUACCCUUACCGAGCUGUGUAGCUCACCCCUUCCACUCUUUCAGUUAGCAGGUUUUAUUUUGGAGCAAAGGGAGCCUUAGUCAAGUUUUGGAAGGAGUUGGUUUUAGCUUUGAAAGUAUAGAUCCCAAAUUAGCAAUUUGAUGUUUAGCUUUGUAGUAUUGUGUAUUUCAGGAUCUAAUGAAGAUUGUGUACCUUAAAGUAUUAAGAGAUGUAUUAUGUGAAAUUUAGAAUUUGUUUUAACUAGUGGAUUAUGUUAUUCUUUGAGUACAGUGUAGAUACUCUAAAUAUUAAGUGAAAAGUUAUAUCAUUUAAGUAAAGAAACAAGAAUGAAAAGAAAGAGGGAAGAUUUUGUA